CCCACGCCGACACCCCUCUUUUCCUCUUCAUCCUUCCCGACACCGCUCUCCCCUCUCUCGAACCCAAUCACGUCGAUCGUCGCCGACCACAAAGGAACAGAUAUCUCUUCGCGUUGCCUCCGUUACUCGUGCUACCGUUGUCCCGCUGCCUCAUCGAGCAUUGGCGGCAGGACUCGUCACAGCCAUGGACGCCACUUCUUCCCUCUGCCCUAGCGUCGACCGCCCGAUCCACUGCCACCUCCGGCCAUGACAAGAGUUAGCCAGCAAGUGUCGAGCUUCCUCUCGCGUUUCGGCCAAGAUCCCUUCAGCGGAAUCCCUCUCCCUGUUCCACCGAUGUACAUUCCUCUUCGCCGAAUUUGGAAUCGCUGCUAUCAGACCCCCUUCUUGGUCCAUAGGAGGCAUGACUACUGUUGAUCCGCUCCGAUGCUGGCAUCUUUCAUGCACGAGCAGGGGGGAUCUAUGCCUUGUCCAAUUUUGGGUGAGGAUGAAACAGAGCAUUGUCAUCUCUGUGGAUUCAAUGAGAGCUCCAACUCCUUACGACUGCACUUGAGGUCUUUGAGAGCAACUAUGAAUCUGAGUGGGAAGCCCCAUUUCCUUCAUAAUGGCUUCGGAUCUCUUCAUCGAAGGUUGCAGAUCAGUUUUGGGGACUUGGGUUCGAGACGAGCGUCUCCACAUGAGGUCACUUGGCACGAUCUACGUAUAAAGGCGGGUACUUCUUACUUUGUCUCUUUAGUUCUUUGAACUUGGUGCAUGAGCUAUUUUUGGAUAAGGACUGUUUUAGCUUGACUCCACUCUAAUUUUUCCUACGCUUGAUACUUCCACUCGAUCUUUGAGAUAUUCAUUUCUAUAUCUAUAUAGUCUCUCGUUGUUAUUCAUGAUGCAUAGCAGAUAUGAGAUACCAUGUUUGUAUGUUUGAUUGUUGUUUACUUAUGUACCGUAUUGAGCAUGAUGGUUUCAUGUAACAUACCUAAUUUCUGCUUAUAUUUGUUUGAUGGCUAUUGCAUCUUGCGCAUCAUAUCAUUGCAUACAUGUUAACGACAAAUUCUCCCUUACAGUCGAGAGAGUCAUUAACCAGGGUCGCACGCUCGACCACUCGAGAGAGUGGUAGCUGGAGCAGAUGUCGCUUGUCUUGUCGUGCCGC